GCGAGUAUAGCUCAUUUGGUAGAGCGUUGGUCUUCCAAACCGAAGGUAGCGGGUUCGAACCCCGCUACUCGCU
rnacentral:tRNA from 1 species